rnacentral:rRNA from 1 species
UAGGGAAUCUUCCGCAAUGGGCGAAAGCUUGACGGAGCAACGCCGCGUGAGUGAUGAAGGUCUUCGGAUCGUAAAACUCUGUUAUUAGGGAAGAACAAAUGUGUAAGUAACUAUGCACGUCUUGACGGUACCUAAUCAGAAAGCCACGGCUAACUACGUGCCAGCAGCCGCGGUAAUACGUAGGUGGCAAGCGUUAUCCGGAAUUAUUGGGCGUAAAGCGCGCGUAGGCGGUUUUUUAAGUCUGAUGUGAAAGCCCACGGCUCAACCGUGGAGGGUCAUUGGAAACUGGAAAACUUGAGUGCAGAAGAGGAUAGUGGAAUUCCAUGUGUAGCGGUGAAAUGCGCAGAGAUAUGGAGGAACACCAGUGGCGAAGGCGACUUUCUGGUCUGUAACUGACGCUGAUGUGCGAAAGCGUGGGGAUCAAACAGG